GCUGUUCCUCCAUCAGUGCUUGAACGGUGUCCGCCAUGGUGUCUUGCGCCGCGCAUAUUUCAUCGGUGCGGGCAUCCAGAUUGUUCGUUCUUUCUCCCAGUUCGGCUAUUUCUUUUUUGAUGUCGUUUGUUGCUUUCUUUAAAUCAGAUUGGAGUGUAAGCCUGAAGUCUUGUAGCAUAGCAUAUAGUUUCUUUUCAGUGACUGGGGCGUCUGUAUAACGUUGCUCCUCAUGGUCUGAUUGAGAGUUGGAGGCCUGUGAAAUUUCCAGCUCCUCGCCGCCAUCUUGCGCCGGUUGCGACCGGUCUUUUUUAGCAUAGCGGAUUGGAUACGUUAGUUUUGUUUGCUUUGCCGGGGCC